AGAGAUGCACUGGGCGUAAAGGGUGCGCAGGCGGUUUUGUAAGACAGAGGUGAAAUCCCCGGGCUCAACCUGGGAACUGCCUUUGUGACUGCAAGGCUGGAGUGCGGCAGAGGGGGAUGGAAUUCCGCGUGUAGCAGUGAAAUGCGUAGAUAUGCGGAGGAACACCGAUGGCGAAGGCAAUCCCCUGGGCCUGCACUGACGCUCAUGCACGAAAGCGUGGGGAGCAAACA
rnacentral:rRNA from 1 species